rnacentral:rRNA from 1 species
AUGAACGCUGGCGGCGCGCCUAACACAUGCAAGUCGCACGAUUAAAGCACCUUCGGGUGUGUAUAAAGUGGCGAACGGCUGAGUAACACGUGGGCAACCUGCCCCUUUCAUUGGGAUAGCCACGGGAAACCGUGGAUAAUACCGAAUACUUCGAGACUUCCGCAUGGAAGACUCGAGAAAGCUCCGGCGGAGAGGGAUGGGCCCGCGGCCUAUUAGCUUGUUGGUGGGGUAACGGCCUACCAAGGCAAUGAUGGGUAGCUGGGUUGAGAGACCGACCAGCCAGAUUGGGACUGAGACACGGCCCAGACUCCUACGGGAGGCAGCAGUGGGGAAUCUUGCACAAUGGGCGAAAGCCUGAUGCAGCGACGCCGCGUGCGGGAUGAAGGCCUUCGGGUUGUAAACCGCUUUCAGCAGGGACGAGGCGAAAGUGACGGUACCUGCAGAAGAAGCCCCGGCUAACUACGUG